UACGGAAGGCAGCAGUGGGGAAUAUUGCACAAUGGGCGAAAGCCUGAUGCAGCUAUGCCGCGUGUAUGAAGAAGGCCUUAGGGUUGUAAAGUACUUUCAUCGGGGAGGAAAAAAACAAAACUAAUAAUUUUAUUUCUUGACGUUACCCGAAAAAGAAGCACCGGCUAACUCCGUGCCAGCAGCCGCGGUAAUACGGAGGGUGCUAGCGUUAAUCAGAAUUACUGGGCGUAAAGAGCACGUAGGUGGUUUUUUAAGUCAGAUGUGAAAUCCCUGGGCUUAACCUAGGAACUGCAUUUGAAACUGAAAUACUAGAGUAUCGUAGAGGGAGGUAGAAUUCUAGGUGUAGCGGUGAAAUGCGUAGAUAUCUGGAGGAAUACCUGUGGCGAAAGCGGCCUCCUAAACGAAUACUGACACUGAGGGUGCGAAAGCGUGGGGAGCAAAACAGGGAUUAGAUACC
rnacentral:rRNA from 1 species